UACGUAGGGGGGCAAGCGUUGUCCGGAUUUAUUGGGCGUAAAGAGCGUGUAGGCGGCUAGGUAGGUCCGUUGUGAAAACUCGAGGCUCAACCUCGAGACGCCGAUGGAAACCAUCUGGCUAGAGUCCGGAAGAGGAGAGUGGAAUUCCUGGUGUAGCGGUGAAAUGCGCAGAUAUCAGGAAGAACACCCGUGGCUAAGGCGGCUCUCUAGUACGGUACUGACGCUGAGACGCGAAAGCGUGGGGAGCGAACAGG
rnacentral:rRNA from 1 species